rnacentral:rRNA from 1 species
CCCAGACUCCUACGGGAGGCAGCAGUGGGGAAUAUUGGACAAUGGGCGAAAGCCUGAUCCAGCCAUGCCGCGUGUGUGAAGAAGGCCUUUUGGUUGUAAAGCACUUUAAGCGAGGAGGAGGCUACUUGGAUUAAUACUCUAGGAUAGUGGACGUUACUCGCAGAAUAAGCACCGGCUAACUCUGUGCCAGCAGCCGCGGUAAUACAGAGGGUGCGAGCGUUAAUCGGAUUUACUGGGCGUAAAGCGUGCGUAGGC